CGCCAACGCAGACAAGGCUUUUCACUGUGAGAGAGGCUGUAUCUACGUUGGUUGGUGAUGUAGAUUCGGAAACGUCCGAAUCGUUUAAAAAGCGAUGAUGUCGAGGUCAGUGAAAGCCAAGGAAGUGAUGUGGAGAGUCCGGGCUAUCUUUAAAAGGAAGAGUCCUAAUAACCAAGGCUGAAGAUCUAUCGGCUGCCUUCGAUACUGUGAACCAUCAGAUCCUCCUCUCCACC